rnacentral:rRNA from 1 species
UACGGGGGGAGCAAGCGUUGUUCGGAUUUACUGGGCGUAAAGGGCGCGUAGGCGGCGCGACAAGUCACUUGUGAAAUCUCCGGGCUUAACUCGGAGCGGCCAAGUGAUACUGUCGUGCUAGAGUGCGGAAGGGGCAACUGGAAUUCUCGGUGUAGCGGUGAAAUGCGUAGAUAUUGGGAGGAACACCAGUGGCGAAGGCGGCUCACUGGACCGGAACUGACGCUGAGGCGCGAAAGCGUGGGGAGCAAACAGG